UGAUUGAACGCUGUCCAAGUACUUGACACAUGCUAAUCGUACGACUUUAUUUUUUUUUGUAAAGUAGUGGUGUACAGGUGAGUAAAUGAUAAUUUGGCUACCUUAAAGUAAGAGUAAAUCUCUUAUAAAAGAAAAGGAAAUCAAAAUUCUGCUUUAAGAUGUUAAUCUUUAUCUCGGUGAAGUAGUAGAAGAGGUAAUGUCUUUUUCUAGCUAACACUCGUAGUCGUGACUGAGAGGUCGAUCGACCACAUUGGGUCUGAAAAAACCCCAAUGCGUAUUAGUACAGCAGUGAGGGAUAUUGGUCAAUGGUCUAACGACUGAACCAGUAACUUGGAAGAAUGUAUGUAUUAUAAUUAAUACAAUAACGAUUAAUUCGUAUAAAAUUCUAAAUAGGAUAAUGAUAAUGACAAUUUCCUAUUUAUAAGUCUUGACCAAAUUACGUGCCAGCAGUCGCGGUAAUACGUAGAAGACUAGUGUUAGUCA
rnacentral:rRNA from 1 species